UCGUUUUAGCCUUGUUUUUAAUGAUUUUUACGUUUUUAGAGUCCCGUUAGCUCGAUUUAGCUUAUGUUAGCAAUAAUUUAACCUAGGGUUUAUAUUUGGAAAAAUAUUCAUAGGUGAAAUUUGUGUAUUUUGGUAUUUUAUGAUAGAAUAUGAGGUUUUAAAUUAUGUUAGAUAACUUGUGCUACUCGGUUUUAAGUGAAAACGAGCAAAAGGGCUUAAUCGGUAAAAAUACUUAAUAGUCAUAAAUACAUGUUAGAGUGAGAAUUUGAUAUUGCCAUAGAAGGGAGAAAUGAUCAGAAUGUCAUAAAACAUAAGAAAAUAGGCUGAAGUUUAAUUUACGAGCUUUGAGAUAAAAUUGUAAAUAUGUAAAAGUUUAGGGGUAAAAUUUUAAUUUUUUUAAAAUAUGAUUUUGGGUCAAUUUGAAUAAUGUGAGUCUUAAUUAAAUUAUAUUUUAAAUGAUAGAGCAAGGAAAAUUAAAAUUUGGGUUAAAAUGGGGAAAAUACCAAGUUGUGGACGAACCAGUAAAAGUAGCCAUUUUCGCAUACGAGUUUUGACAAGCCAGCUCGAAAAUUGGGAACGGUCGAAGGCUCGCUCACACUAUCCGUAUACCAUCUUGGCAUAAUGGCUUGUAUAUUUUGAGUAUGUCAUGUAUAACAUUAUAAUCAUUUUGUAUAUAUGGUCUUAUGAUAUGGUUAUUGAGUGGUAUGGAAA